UUGAAGCUGAAUGCAUUGGAUUAGAAAUUCGUGUAGUUAGCAAUGAUAGUCGCGAGAAGGUAUUUACUUCCUAAUCAAAUUUAAUAUCUUUGAGCAUUUCUUUGGAGUAUUAAUAUUCAUUUGGCUUGCUGAGUUCUAUUAUGUGUGUAAUCUUUUCAAAAACUUUCUUAUACACAUGUAUCGAUUUUAGUUGGUACUCUUGCUCUCGUUUGGCCCGAGAUGCCCCCGAAUAUAAAAAGGAUGGCUAUAAAAACUUUAAUACGUUCUACAUUCAAGCAGCUUCUGGACUAAGGGUGGUUCUAGCGGUUCACCGGUGAUUGAUCGGGUAGGCAGAUCUGUGGUCUUAAAUGCUGAAGCAAAACAUCAUCUUCAACAUCAGCCUAUUUUUGACCUUUAGAGCGAAUAAUAUGAUGCACUAGAGCAAUACAUCAUGAGUACACAAACUCCAUCAUCACCAUCUCCUCUUGCCAACAAUCUUGGUUGAAUUUGAGUUGUGAGCGACAAGGAUGCUUAAGAGAAUGUCAUUGUUAUCCAGCGCAUUAGUGAGAUACAUUCUGAAAAUCGGAACCAACAGAAGGAUAUGCAUACUGCGGGGCCAAAAAGUUUUGCUAGAAUAAGAAAAAAAUUGCAAGAUGAAAAAGGAGGAUAAGGCUGAUCCGACUUUGACGAAAAUAUUCAUUGCCACAGACAAGAGAAAAGCGGGCCGUUCUUACAAGGAAUCAAGGGAAGACACAACUAGCAAAAUUGAUUUUAUGAAGAUACUUGUGGAAAUGAUUCCGUAAAGAAAAGGCGUUCAAUGUUUUGUAGUAUAAUCGUUAUCUUUUUGUGAUGUAAUGGAUUGAUGGGAUAUUUUUAGACUUUGAAUGUUAUGAAUAUUUUCCGUCUUCUAAUUUUAGUGAAUAUUUUAUGUUA